GACUGAACUCAAUUUAGAGAUUCUUUUUCUCACUGUGCUACUUGAAGGGCCGGAACUAAUUACAUCGAGGGUCGCCAAUUGAAUAGCCCGGCUAUAAACUAUUGAUGAUGUGAAAGAAACAUGAUCUUAUUACAUUUCUCUGAAUUUGAGUGAAAGCUGUUCCACUGUGUUGUGUUGAUUUGUGUAAGGAAAAGGCAUCCCAGUCAUUACAGUGAACACAAACUAGACACAUUUAAUUCAUUAAAAGCUCAUUUUUUCACAUUUAUUGUGUGUUUAAUUGAUCAGAGUAGGUAGUAAAUGCAUAAUUCUCUCCAUUAGUUGAUAAAGUGAGUUGAGUCUGAUAUUCACACGGUUAAUAAAUCAAGUCUUGUUUAUUAUUGUAGUGCUUCACAAUAAACGGCUUCAUUUCAAUGUGUGAUGAUAUAAACUCAAGUGAUUCUAGAGCUGACUGAAGACAUGACUGUGUGUUCACACUAACACAUGUUCACAUGUUCAUAUGUUUCAUGUGUGUGUGAUUCUUUACAGAAAAACGUCCUCCAAAUCAGAUCAAGAAGAACUCAGACACUGGUGAUGGAACAGAACUGAACAAACGGAGAUCAGAUUCAGCAGGAAUUGAAGAAAAUGAAUCAACAACUGUUGAGAUGCCUUUACUGAAAGAAGCAGAAGAUGAAGUUUGAUCAGCUGAUAGAUGCUCAACAUCACAUCUGUCACAUCAUCAACAUCUACAGUUACACGACUGUUUCACUCAUGAUCUCAUGAUCCGUCCUCUUUAAAAGAUCAACUCGUGUGUGAUGUUGAGCUCAAGUGAUAAAAGCUUUUAAAGCUAAAUUAAACUUUAGGUUUUUAGGCUUUAAUUAAAAUUAAAGGUUUUUGAUAAACAACAUAAACUUUCAUUAAUUUGUCGUUGACACAGAUCAAUGAUCAGAAUGUUUAUAUUUUUAUAUUUCAUGUCUGUUACUCACUGCAUAUCAUGUUAUCACUUUGACUCUCAUGUGUUUGAUAUUGUGUGAUUAUAGACAGUAUUGAUUUAAUAUCUGAUGAUGAUGAAAUAUCAGAUAAACAUGAAGAACAUCUUUAGUCUUUCUUUAACCCGUCUCUAAUCUGCUUUUAUACACUUUUUAUAUAUACUAACACCAAAAACAAGUUCAUGAUGAUGACAAUCUGUGUUUAUCAUGUGAAGAAGAUUCUAGAAAAUACACGAGAGAAACAUCUUGAGCAUCAGUGUUAGAUUGUGAUGUCUGUUCUGUUUUUAUUGUUGAAGAUUAUUUUAACGUUUCAUUUACAGUAUUAUUUGAUUCAAUAUGUGCCUAUAUUGUAUUUUUGUAACUCAACUGUUUUUUGCUUAAGAAAAUCUGUUUUCUGAUCAGAUCUGAAUGUAAAAUGAUGAAUUCAGACACUCAGUCCAGAUAUAAAAUCUUCAUAAAGCACUUAACUGAAUAACUCUUGCCUUAUUGCUCUUAUUAGAAAAAAUGCGCUAGCUUUAAUAUGUUCUGCUUUGAAUGAAUCUCAUGUUUAUUUUACUUCAGAUGUCAUACAUGUACAUGUAACAGUAUUGAUAAGUGUGUGUGCCUGAUCAUUUCUGUCAUUUAGUGGAUAAACUGAUUAUUUUCUACUGGCUGUUUUAACAGUAAACACAUGCUUGUGUGUUCAACUUUAACAUGUUUGACUGAAUAUGUGCCAUUGUUAUUAUUAAUAAAUUAAUAAAAGUUCAA